rnacentral:sRNA from 1 species
GCAUGCCGCCUUCUUGGACGUUUCCUCCCUAAACUUGGCGGCGCCGCAUAGGCGCCGCCUUUUUUUGCCAUAA